ACAUGAUUUUUGAAAUUGGAUAAAUAAAAAUAUUACAUUUAUUUUCUUUUUUUAAUUUAUUAUUAUAGACAAUUGGGGCACAAAUAUAUAUUUUUUUUCUUAAUGACUUAAUAGAUACGUACUUCGGUAAAAAAAAUAAUAAGGGUGUGAAAGUUUUAAGGGAGGUGAAAUUUGUAUGUAAGGUUAUGAAUGGGGGUGGAUUGAAUUUCAAUGGAUGAAAUUGAAGGAUUUUUUUUUUUUUUU
rnacentral:lncRNA from 1 species